rnacentral:misc_RNA from 1 species
UCAUCACCCGACACUUCUCUGCUCCUUUCCUUUUCUCUUCAAUGGCGACUCUGCAACAACAACUCCUCAAACCUUCAUGGACCUCCUCUCUCUUCGCUUCCUCCUCUCCUCGCCAUUCCCUCUCUCAACCCCAACUUCAGUCUCGAACUCUUACUUCCACCACGCCUAAAGCUUCUCUUCAGAAUUCUUCCAUCAAUCGCCG